AGUGAACGCUGGCGGUAGGCCUAACACAUGCAAGUCGAACGGCAGCACAGGAGAGCUUGCUCUCUGGGUGGCGAGUGGCGGACGGGUGAGGAAUACAUCGGAAUCUACUCUGUCGUGGGGGAUAACGUAGGGAGACUUACGCUAAUACCGCAUACGACCUACGGGUGAAAGCAGGGGAUCUUCGGACCUUGCGCGAUCUAAUGAGCCGAUGUCGGAUUAGCUAGUUGGCGGGGUAAAGGCCCACCCAGGAGACGGUCCGUAGCUGGUCUGAGAGGGUGGUCAGUCUCACCGGAGCUGCAACCCGGUCCAGAGUCCUACGGGAGGCAGCAGUGGGUAAUAUUGGACAAUGGGCGCAAGCCUGCGCCAGCCAUACCGCGUGGGUGAAGAAGGCCUUCGGGUUGUAAAGCCCUUUUCUUGGGAAAGAAAUCCAGCUGGCUAAUACCCCGUUGGGAUGACGGUACCCAAAGAAUAAGCACCGGCUAACUUCGUGCCAGCCGCCGCGGUAA
rnacentral:rRNA from 1 species